rnacentral:rRNA from 1 species
CGUAUACAAUCUACCUUUAACUGAGGGAUAGCCCAGAGAAAUUUGGAUUAAUACCUCAUAGUAUUAUAAUUAGGCAUCUUUUUAUAAUUAAAACUUCGGUGGUUAAAGAUGAGUAUGCGUACUAUUAGCUAGUUGGUAAGGUAAAAGCUUACCAAGGCAACGAUAGUUAGGGGGCCUGAAAGGGUGAUCCCCCACACUGGUACUGAGACACGGACCAGACUCCUACGGGAGGCAGCAGUGAGGAAUAUUGCACAAUGGAGGAAACUCUGAUGCAGCCAUGCCGCGUGCAGGAAGAAUGCCCUAUGGGUUGUAAACUGCUUUUAUACAAGAAGAAACCUCGGUACGUGUACCGACUUGACGGUAUUGUAUGAAUAAGCACCGGCUAACUCCGUGCCAGCAGCCGCGGUAAUACGGAGGGUGCAAGCGUUAUCCGGAUUUAUUAGGUUUAAAGGGUCCGCAGGCGGAAUAUUAAGUCAGUGGUGAAAGCCUACAGCUCAACUGUAGAACUGCCAUUGAUACUGAUAUUCUUGAGUAUGGAUG